UAUUGUUGAAAAACCAAUAGG
rnacentral:piRNA from 1 species